rnacentral:tRNA from 1 species
GCCCGGGUGGCGGAAUAGGUAGACGCAAGGGACUUAAAAUCCCUCGGGACUUUAAUCCCGUGCCGGUUCGACUCCGGCCUCGGGCA